GCAACGACUAUAAUUUUGAUGCUUGUGAUGUUACUCUGAGUGUAUAUCCACACCGGCCAAGCUUGGAUAUACACUCAGUGUAACAUCACAAGCAUCAUAUUCACCUGAGUACAUAUUACACCAACACAGAAUUCAUGACUAUAAUUUUAUAGUUUAUAUGUCUACUCCAUUCCUAAGAAUUACAAAUAUUCUUGAUCCAAUAUGAUCAGUUCGUGCAUGUGAUAAUCAAAAAAUAUUUCUGGUAAUACUUGGGACGUUCACCCAAAACUCUGUUUUUCUUGUGUACUUGCAUUGUGUAUCCACAGCAGCUAGCCUCCCACUUCUUAUGCCACUGUAGGGCAAGAACUAGAACUGAAGAAGGGAUAUGCUCUCUUCGCUUGGAGAAAACUACAGUCGAGUCACUUCCUGAAAUGCCAUUCCAUGCCUUUUUGAGUUUGAGAGUAUAGGUUGCAUUACAUCAUAUAAAACACACAAACACCAGCACGUGCAUUGCAUGUGAUAAAUAGUUAUAAUUUUUAAGUUUAAUAACAUAUGAACUUAACAUCUCUAAAAAUCAUAUAACUACAUGCAACUAGUGAUAGACUAGUCCUGUAUAAUUAAUAUAGUAAAUUAAGGUAAGAGUUGAAAUGUCGAAAAUUUGAGAAGUAUUGAUAUUUCAAAAUUAUAAGCUUGAAGAGACAUUCAUCAUCCAUUCAGGAUCGAUUUUCUGGAAGCUUGUUUUUUCACGAAAAUUCUUACUGAGUCAUCAAACUCGUUUAACUCAUAGACAUAGCCGUGACGGGCCUACAGAUCGCGGACAGAAUUGGUGGACAACUUUAGAAUUGUUUUGGAAACUUACAUGCAUAUACAGCCUAUACAGUAUAUUAGCAAGGAACCGUUUAUAUAGUCACCACGUACAGGGUUAGAACGAUUAUACGAUCAUAGUAAUGCAAAGAAUUCACAUGAUUUUGGGAAUUCACAUCACAUCAUCAGAGUGAAAUCCAUCAUAUGGCUUCGAGAAGUUAAAAGUUUGUAUAACUACUUAAGAGGGGUCAAGUCUUGCUGAGAACUAAUACCUAUAUCUUGUACUUGUAUUAUGAUUCACCACGGGCAUCUACAAAUUUCUUUAGCCUUCCGUUCACAGGCAGCCAACACGCCGUGCCACACAAUAUAUGGAAACAUAGAAAAUACGCAGGAUAUAGCAUUUGAAAUAGGAACAAUAACAAGCAAAGAAAACAUGUGAGAUUACUCACGUCCUGCGCGAAGGCUGUGAACUCAGAGGAACUAUUAAGAACAGGAUUUUAUGCGUUUCCUUCUGUUGAUGCCAAAGCCAAUGUGACGCACAUCAUAUAGUUGUCACGGCAUGAUUGAGUGACAGAAACCUUUUCGAUGUUCCAGGAAAGGUUCAUUUCAAGUGUCUUUAAAAAAUCAAAACCGAGUGCUAGGAUUUCGGUUACUGUUAGG